CAUUUUUACUACAUUAUAUGCCAUCCUUAUGUAAAGUGUACAAUCAGCUAAUAAUACAAGCAUGACAAGAUAGAUGUAUAAUGAAUGUUUCAUACAGUGAAUAUUGCUUUCUAUGCAGAGUUCAAACAGUUUCCAAGAAGCCUCACAACCAUUUUGAUAUCCUCACCUCUGGAUAAGACAAGAAUACUUUGUGGUGGAAAAGAGCUCUCCCUUCAUAGGAAUGAUUGCUACUGGAGGAGAAUCGUGAGAAGAACAUGGCGAGCUCCUCGUGAGGCAAUCGCUGUUACUGAAUGAAAGCAACUCUCUGAGCACACAAAGAAAGGAAGACCUUCUACCUGCACCACAACACAACUGAGGUCAAAGAAAGGAAAUACUGGAGGCUGGAUGAGGGAGCCAUGCAGUGGACUCCAGAUGUUCAAGAGUAGUUGGUAGAAGAAUGUCAAGAUUGACAACAGUGACGACGGGUCAGCUCCACUGGUGCAAACUUUUACAAGUGCAGCAUGCAGGCUCUUGUUCAUCAUUGGCAAAAAAGCAUAGCUAAUGGUGGCAACUAUGUUGAAUUAUAGUGUUUUGUAUCUGAAAUAUGCUCUAUCAAAAGGUGUUAUUGCGCUCUUUGUAUUAAUGGUAGUUCCCAUGGAAAUAAAUAGAAGUCAUUACUUUCAGAGCAACCUACGAAUGAAGAUUUAGCUUUUCUAAUAAAAAAAUAAAUCAGCCAACCUUUUGGAACAUAACUGUAUCAUGAGCUGUGUCAUGAACAACUGCGACAGUUCCCAACUGCUGGGAAAAAUGAAAAAUACUUAAUUAUACUUUCCAGGUCUCAAGGAGGGCUGGUGAGCAGUUCUCAUUUCCAUUAAGAAGUUGAGCUUAUGUGGAAAACCAUAUACACCCCUGGGGAAUGAUAAGUAUCCAAAAUAGGACAUAAUUUGUGUAUAUAAAAUAAUUUUCAUGAAGAUAUUUUGGGUUGUUGGUUUUUUUUGUUUGUUUGUUUUCUUUUCCUAUGCUGUUGGUCUGUUUGUUUCUGAGGGAAGCCAUUUCCAACGUAUAAUGGAUAUCUCAUAAGGGGAUUUAUUUUAAUGACAAGAAAUGUAAGGGGGAAAAAAGGCUGUUUUAGAGACUCUUUUUGCGGGGGUAAAAGCCAUGUGAAAUGAUUGAAAAUAAAUGUCUCAUUUUUAUGUGGCAGUUCAAUCACUGUUCUGUAGCCUAGCUUAUCACAGGCAGCAAAGAACCCUUCUAUAAACAGAAUUUUCUACUUUCUACUGCUCUCCCCGUGCACAGAUAUAUCAACAAACUUUCUUUCUGCUCAAAUAUGCCUCAAAUGCCCCAGUCCCACAGCUCCAUGUCCCACACUGUGCUGUGCUGUGCUGUGCUGAAGGAAGUGCCCACCAGCCACCCCCAAAGCUCUGCUUUAAGCAUUGGGAGAGGUUCUUUC
rnacentral:lncRNA from 1 species